GUCGUCUAGAACCAUCGGGAUCGUCGUCUAGAACCAUCGGGAUCGUCGUCUAGAACCAUCGGGAUCGUCGUCUAGAACCAUCGGGAUCGUCGUCUAGAACCAUCGGGACCGUCGUCUAGAACCAUCAAGACCGUCGUCUAAAACCAUCAAGA